UGCUUAUUAAUAGAAUCUCUUAGAGGUUUUUGGUAUUUUAUACUUUCAUGACUGAGUUUUCGCUGCUUAAUGCCAAUUAAGCCUUAAAUCUGGGGACAGAAAUUCACACAUGAAGAGGAUUCUGGAUCAAACCUCAUCUUUCCGUGUGGGUUUUUCACGUUUUCCUGAGUUUCCUCCCACAGCGUGAAGGUGUUCGCUGACUCGCCUCCAGGUGUGAGUCGGUCAUGGGACGGACCGGCAGCAGCGGCCCGAAAGAUGCAUCAAAGCUCAGGAAGUGAACGGAAGAAAGGAGAGCCUCACUCUCUGGGGACAGCCUGAGGUGAAGGUGGGAGCCGACGUCACUCAGAGAGAUGAUCAGAUUCGCCUCCAGACCAAACGAGCAGCUUCCUCUCAGUGAGUCCAGCUGCAGGAGAGAAAAGAGGAAACUGCUGCUUCCAGCUGCUCACACUGAAGGCGAGUUGGACCAAAAACUCAGAGUUCAGUGACUGACUGGACCUUCUGUGUUUUCAGCUUCACUCAGAGACAAAAUGGCUUCCAGACCAGAGAAGGAUCUCUGCUGUCCGGUCUGUCAGGACGGCUUUAAGGAUCCGGUUGUUCUGUCAUGCAGCCACAGCUUCUGUAAGGAGUGUCUGAAGAACUGGUGGAGACAGAAACCAGCAGGAGAGUGUCCAGUUUGCAAGAGGAAAUCUUCAAGAGAGGAACCGACUUUAAAUCCGGCUCUGAAGAGACUCUGUGAAUCAUUCUUAGAGCAGAGAGAGCAAAAAGCUUCAGAGAGUCUCUGCAGUCUGCACUCUGAGAAACUCAAACUCUUCUGUCUGGACCAUCAGCAGCCAGUUUGUCUCGUCUGCAGAGAUUCAGAAAAACGCAUCAAGCACAGAUUCAGAGCCAUCGAUGAAGCUGCUCAGGAUCACAGAGAGAAUCUGAAAACAUCUCUGGAGCCUUUAAAGAAGAAACUGGAGCAGAAGAAGGAAGUUAAAGAGGAGUUUGA